rnacentral:rRNA from 2 species
AAUGGGCGCAAGCCUGAUCCAGCACUGCCGCGUGCAGUGAAGAAGGCCUUCGGGUUGUAAACUGCUUUUGUACGGAACGAAAAGGUCUUGGCUAAUAUCCGAGGCUCAUGACGGUACCGUAAGAAUAAGCACCGGCUAACUACGUGCCAGCAGCCGCGGUAAUACGUAGGGUGCAAGCGUUAAUCGGAAUUACUGGGCGUAAAGCGUGCGCAGGCGGUUGUGUAAGACAGGUGUGAAAUCCCCGAGCUCAACUUGGGAAUUGCACUUGUGACUGCACAACUAGAGUGCGGCAGAGGGGGAUGGAAUUCCGCGUGUAGCAGUGAAAUGCGUAGAUAUGCGGAGGAACACCGAUGGCGAAGGCAAUCCCCUGGGCCUGCACUGACGCUCAUGCACGAAAGCGUGGGGAGCAAACAGGAUUAGAUACCCUGGUAGUCCACGCCCUAAACGAUGUCAACUGGUUGUUGGGAAUUCACUUUCUCAGUAACGAAGCUAACGCGUGAAGUUGACCGCCUGGGGAGUACAGCCGCAGGGUUGAAACUCAAGGGAAUUGACG